AAAAUGGCGGCCAUCUUGUUUGCACGAGGAGAGCCAGCGGGACUUGGUCGUCGAGUGCCUGGAACUAAAAUCAGACACUCGACCUCACGAACUGCCGCUGGAAACUACCGAAUGCCGGCUUCUCAUACUUCCCGAACAGCCAGGAGAGCGUCAUUCGGUAGUUCUGUGCGAACGGACCAGGGGAGCAAUCGCUACUAUGAACCAGGAGAAUCCAUUCG